UCUAUGUCCUCUUCUACUUGUGUAUUGUAUACUUGUAUCUAUAUAUAUUGUUACUCCGUUUCUGUUACCUGCCUAGGAACUACGUAGCUAUGUAAAUUAGCAUUCUUGCUAACUCAGGCAUGUUUACAUUUACAUCUUGUAUUUUAUAUUGAUGUGUGCUGUGUCCCUGUGGGGGGUUUAUCAGAUUCUACCACUUGCACAACAGCCAGUUACUGUGGUUUACAAGCAAUUAUCUCUCUCUUUCUCUAUAAACUGUACCAAGUAGCCUUAAAGCUGCUAUCUGUAAUGCUUUGCUGUAUUUAUAAAUCGUUCAUUUCUAUGUGGUGUCUAAAAACACAAAGGCGGCACCGCCCGCGAUAUUGUUUUUCCCACUAUGGCCACGCCAAGAUCCGCCCUUCAAUAGCAUUCACACACUACUAUUGGCCAGGCGUCCAUGCUUCCUAUCAUCUGACCAAUCCUUUAACCCUAACCUUAACCACUCGAGGUGAAAUGCCUAACCCCAACCAAUCGAGCUGCUUCGUAGGGCGGGUCUUGGCGUGGCCAUAGUGGGAUUUGUAAUUUUGCGCACCGCCCAGCAGGAAAGGCCCGCGGCGUCCCGUCGCUAUGGCAACUUAGUAGGGAAGGCACAACAACGCUUCAAUCAUGUCUACCUCUGUGGCGAAAGAAGAAAGAAAGAAGAGACGUACUCUGGUUCUAAGGCCCUCUUCUCGAACAAUAAAUAUUUCAGUGUCAGGCAUACACGGAGUCAACCAAAGUACAAGAGACAUAAACAGCGUCGUCGGUUCCCCGAGCAGGAAAAGUUUCAGCCUGUGCGGUGGCAGCAAAGUUCUGGAGAAGAGCUCCAUUCAAACUCAGAGACAAGCUGUUCGGGUGUUUGAUGAUGAAGGCAAUGACGUCACUCCUCAGCCGCUGCAGCAUGCAGAUCCAGCUGCUGCGCAGGCCAAAGCCAGCAGGUUGUUUCUGGAUGAACUGUCCGCUGGAUCCGCAUCAGAUCAGACGACAGCCACUGGGAGCUUUGCUAUGCCUUUCUCCAGGUCAAUAUUAGGAAGCAGCAGAAUAUCCAGCCAGUCUACCAUAGAGUCGAUGAAUGAGGAGAUUGAGGAUACAUUUUCCAAACGGGACAUGCCCAUCAACUUCCCAGAUGUGCAGGGGAAAAGAGACACCGUGAAAGAACAGGUGACAGAAGACAUGUUGAAAGAGGUCAUAGAUCUCUACAUCUCUGAGACAGACAGCAUUUCACUGCUGGACAUACGUAGCACCUUUGUGUCAGUGGACGCCGAUGACGCAGAAGCUAUCAUGGAGAGAAACAAUCAGUAUGCUGAGGUUUGCAGGAGCAGAAUGGACAACGAUAAGUAUGUGGAUCAAUCAGUGCAGACGUUGAAUGGAGCUACUAAAAACAAACAGGUCCAGAGCGACAGCAUUGUCAUGGUGGACAAAGCCACGACUGUUACCAGCUGGGAUGUGUAUGACACUUUGAUCAGCCCUGAGCAGGGUGAAAAGCUGUGCAGCCCUGAACUGGGGAGGGCUCAGUGUCCCGAGGCUGCUGUGGACAGUGGCAGAGGUGCAGAGAGGAGCGUGUCAGUGGGCAGCACAGCCAGCACAGCCAGUGCUGCCAGCUCAUUGAAAGAAGUGGAGCCGCUUGGGAACAGUUUAAACGCUGAGUCAGACUUGCAGCUGAUCAUGCUGUCAGAGAAAUUCCAACACUGCUUACUAGUGAUGGAGAGGAGCAUUCUGGGAAACAUUUUCCAACCCCAGCUGGCUGCUUACAGACAACUGCCCGUAAUAGAAGACCCAGACAGUCCGGUGAAGCCUGGGAUCGGGGAGCAGAGGGAGGAGGAUGCCGAGAGCCCCAGAUCUCCGGCCGUGGAGCGUCUCUGGGCUUUCAGCUGCGAGCUCAGCCGAGGGAGCAGCGUCAGCAGCAUGGCCUGGAACAAGAAGAACCCGGACCUUCUGGCUGUGGGCUAUGGUGAGUUUGGCUCCAGUAACCAGAAACCAGGCCUGGUGUGCUGCUGGUCUCUCAAAAAUCCCACGUGGCCGGAGCGUGUCAUCCGCUGUGACAGCGCUGUGACUUCCCUGGAUUUCUCAUCCAAUAACCCCAGUCAGCUGGCUGUGGGCAUGCAAGAUGGCGGUAUCGCUAUCUACAACGUGAAGAGUCGAGACAACAAGGCCUGUUUCAUCAGCAGCAGUGGAUGUCCUAACAGGCACUUGGAUCCAGUGUGGCAGCUUAGGUGGACCCAACAGGAGUUGAGUCUGACAGGAGAAGAGAAGGUGGAAUCUCUGUUUUCUGUGGCUGCAGAUGGCAGGAUCAGCAAGUGGUUUGUCAGCAACAAUGGCCUCGACUGCAUAGACCUGAUGAAGCUGAAGAAGAGUCAUAACCCAAAGAAGAGGGCUGGAGGGACCACCACAGGGAAGAAGACAGAAAGUGUUCUGUCAGCACUGACUCCUGGUCUGUGCUUUGACUUCCAUCCAACAGAUGCCAGUGUCUACUUGGUUGGCACAUGGGAAGGUCUCAUCCACAAGUGCUCCUGUUCCAACAGUCAGCAGUUUCUGGACACGUACAGGAAGCACUUUUGUCCUGUGAACCGCGUCACAUGGAGUCCACUCAGUCCAGAUGUGUUCCUGAGCUGCUCGGCUGACUGGACCAUCCAGCUGUGGAAGCAGGACCACCAUAAACCCCUAUUAGGCUUCAUCUCCACCCGGAGAACGGUGUGCGACAUCAAGUGGUCCCCAAAGUGGGCGACAGUAUUCGGAGCCGUUAAUGAGGGACAGCUGGAGAUCUGGGACCUGAAUUUAAGCGUCUUGGACCCGGUCAUUGUGCAGCCUGCUGCCGCUGGUGUGAAGAUGAGCUCCCUGCUGUUCGCCCCCCAGACGGACUGUGUCCUGGUCGGAGACAGCGAUGGACAGGUGACCGUCUACCAGCUGAGGAACCUCUGUGUGGGAGACAGCAGCCAGGUGGAUAUUCUGGAGGGCAUCCUCUGCUCUGCAGCUCCUGGAUAGCUUUAAGAAACAGACGGAUGUAUACCCAAGCCAUUUGGGUUUCUGUCUGAAAGAAAGAUAGCUGCUGACUGAUUCCUGUGCAUGAUGAAGUGCUCCACUUUGCCUUCCUGAUGACUGCUUUAGAACUCAGCGAUAUGGGGACCCCUUGUGGUCAGAUUUGGUACAACAGAAAAUUGAGUAAUACUGCCUUUACAUGGCCAAAAUAUUUAGUAGUGGAAAGUAACUAAAAAACAUUUACUAAACUACAAAUUUGAGAUACUUUUACUUUGUGUAUUUCAUUUUAAUUGGAUGCUACUUUAUACUUUUACUCAACUACAGUUCAGAUGCAUUUAACUACAGGUGUAGCAGAAAGAGGGGAAAGUACACAAUAGCCCUUUUCAACCUUGAAAGGAAGCUGGGAGAGAGCGCUCUACCGAGUGAGCUACCCAGGUGAAAACAGUGUUUUAACAUUGUGGCAUUUCCUUUUAAGAAAAAGUGUUCAUAAGUUAUUGUCCAUUUGAGAGACAAAUCUUUGAAAAAUGUUGCGCCUUUCACCUUUAAUGGGAACCACAUGCACAAAAUACAUGAAUCAUAAAAGACACGAGUCAUCACUGUUGUCCCAAACCUUUUAUUGCAGCAACAGAUCAUUUACAGAAAACCGUGACACUUCAAAUCUCCACAAUCCAUCGUUACUUCACAAUAAUUUACAUCGUCAUCCUCAGCAUCUACAGGACCGUAUUAGAUCUGCAGACAACACCGAGGCAAAGAGAUGGCCAGUCUUUAACCAGCAGCUUUAUUUCCCCUGCACAGUAAUUAAACCGUUUCCAGCAACUGACACCCCCAGUGUGUGGGAGCAAAGCUGUCCACGUGAGCACAAGCCUUUCCAGCGUGACCACGACUUCUGAUCAAUGAUCCGUAAUGAAAAAGACGCAUUUCACCAGGUGGCUCUGCAGUUUUAUUUUAUUGCCCUUCCCUAUUGUUUCGUUGGAGAAUAAAAAGUUUUCCUGAAGUAGCCCAGUCCCUUAAAACAUGCCUGUCACAAACCGCUUAUGGCUUUGUAAAAACCUUUUAAAGCAUUUUCAGAAAAUUAUAUAUAUUUUUUUUAAUUAUUUCUCCAAGUCCUUUUUAAAAAUGUUCCUUUUAAAAAUCUAGAAGCUCUCUCUUGGUAAAGACUGUAAUCUUCAACUGGUAAAAAGGUUUUUGAUUUCACACUGAUUUACAAAAUGUGAGGGAGUAGAAAAGACCAGCUAGUGGACAAGACAUCCUACGAAAACGACUACUGCACACCAUAAAAAAAAAAAAACAAUAUGCCAGGA